rnacentral:rRNA from 1 species
CCUACGGGUGGCAGCAGUGGGGAAUAUUGCACAAUGGGGGAAACCCUGAUGCAGCGACGCCGCGUGAGUGAAGAAGUAUUUCGGUAUGUAAAGCUCUAUCAGCCGGGAAGAAAAUGACGGUACCUGAGUAAGAAGCCCCGGCUAACUACGUGCCAGCAGCCGCGGUAAUACGUAGGGGGCAGGCGUUAUCCGGAUUUACUGGGUGUAAAGGGAGCGUAGACGGUGGGCCCAGUCUGGAGUGAAAUGCCGAAGCCUAACCUCGGUCCUGCCUUUGAAACUGCCGAACUAGAGUGCGCGAGGAGUAAGCGGAAUGCGUGGUGUAGCGGUGAAAUGCGUAGAUAUUAGGCGGAACACCGGUGGCGAAGGCGGCAUACCGGAGCCCGACUGACGCUGAGGCUCGAAAGCGUGGGUAUCAAACAGGAUUAGAUACCCGAGUAGUC